GACGAACGCUGGCGGCGUGCCUAAUACAUGCAAGUCGAGCGGACCAAAGGGAGCUUGCUCCUGGAGGUCAGCGGCGAACGGGUGAGUAACACGUGGGCAACCUGCCUGUAAGACUGGGAUAACAUCGAGAAAUCGGUGCUAAUACCGGAUAAUAAAAAGAACUGCAUGGUUCUUUUUUGAAAGAUGGUUUCGGCUAUCACUUACAGAUGGGCCCGCGGCGCAUUAGCUAGUUGGUGAGGUAACGGCUCACCAAGGCAACGAUGCGUAGCCGACCUGAGAGGUGAUCGGCCACACUGGGACUGAGACACGGCCCAGACUCCUACGGGAGGCAGCAGUAGGGAAUCUUCCGCAAUGGACGAAAGUCUGACGGAGCAACGCCGCGUGAGUGAUGAAGGUUUUCGGAUCGUAAAACUCUGUUGUUAGGGUAAGAACAAGUGCCGUUCGAAAGGGCGGCACCUUGACGGUACCUAACGAGAAAGCCACGGCUAACUACGUGCCAGCAGCCGCGGUAAAG
rnacentral:rRNA from 1 species